rnacentral:rRNA from 1 species
AACGCUAGCUACAGGCUUAACACAUGCAAGUCGAGGGGAAACGACAUCGAAAGCUUGCUUUUGAUGGGCGUCGACCGGCGCACGGGUGAGUAACGCGUAUCCAACCUGCCCACCACUUGGGGAUAACCUUGCGAAAGUAAGACUAAUACCCAAUGAUAUCUCUAGAAGACAUCUGAAAGAGAUUAAAGAUUUAUCGGUGAUGGAUGGGGAUGCGUCUGAUUAGCUUGUUGGCGGGGUAACGGCCCACCAAGGCGACGAUCAGUAGGGGUUCUGAGAGGAAGGUCCCCCACAUUGGAACUGAGACACGGUCCAAACUCCUACGGGAGGCAGCAGUGAGGAAUAUUGGUCAAUGGGCGAGAGCCUGAACCAGCCAAGUAGCGUGUAGGAUGACGGCCCUAUGGGUUGUAAACUGCUUUUAUAGGGGAAUAAAGUUCGGAACGUGUUCCGUUUUGUAUGUACCCUACGAAUAAGGAUCGGCUAACUCCGUGCCAGCAGCCGCGGUAAUACGGAGGAUCCGAGCGUUAUCCGGAUUUAUUGGGUUUAAAGGGAGCGUAGGUGGAUGUAUAAGUCAGUUGUGAAAGUUUGCGGCUCAACCGUAAAAUUGCAGUUGAUACUGUAUGUCUUGAGUGUACAAGAGGUGGGCGGAAUUCGUGGUGUAGCGGUGAAAUGCUUAGAUAUCACGAAGAACUCCGAUUG